rnacentral:rRNA from 1 species
AUACGGAGGGUGCAAGCGUUACUCGGAAUCACUGGGCGUAAAGCGCGCGCAGGCGGCUAUUUAAGUUGGAUGUGAAAGCCUACGGCUCAACCGUAGAACUGCAUCCAAAACUAUUUAGCUAGAGUGUGGGAGAGGAAGAUGGAAUUAGUUGUGUAGGGGUAAAAUCCGUAGAGAUAACUAGGAAUACCAAAAGCGAAGGCAAUCUUCUGGAACACUAUUGACGCUGAGGCAUGAAAGCGUGGGGAGCAAACAGGAGUAGAAACCCGAGUAGUCC